AUUGAACGCUGGCGGCAGGCCUAACACAUGCAAGUCGAGCGGAUGAGAGAAGCUUGCUUUUCGAUUCAGCGGCGGACGGGUGAGUAAUGCCUAGGAAUCUGCCUGUUAGUGGGGGAUAACUCGGGGAAACUCGGGCUAAUACCGCAUACGUCCUACGGGAGAAAGGGGGGGAUCUUCGGACCUCACGCUAACAGAUGAGCCUAGGUCGGAUUAGCUAGUAGGUGAGGUAAUGGCUCACCUAGGCGACGAUCCGUAACUGGUCUGAGAGGAUGAUCAGUCACACUGGAACUGAGACACGGUCCAGACUCCUACGGGAGGCAGCAGUGGGGAAUAUUGGACAAUGGGCGAAAGCCUGAUCCAGCCAUGCCGCGUGUGUGAAGAAGGUCUUCGGAUUGUAAAGCACUUUAAGUUGGGAGGAAGGGUAUUCAUCUAAUACGUGGGUACUUUGACGUUACCAACAGAAUAAGCACCGGCUAACUCUGUGCCAGCCGCCGCCGUAACAC
rnacentral:rRNA from 1 species